ACUUGGGUGUGACCAGAUCUUACUGCAUGAGAAUCCAAAGACUCUGGCAGGGGCAGCCAAGGAAGUCAAAUACAUACUGCAGUGAUAAAGACAGAGCUGAUGUACUCAGACUGGCUGGGUCAGAACCAAAAAACUGUCAGAAGAAGCCGGGUCAAAACCAGCGAGUCAACACAAGGCAUAGGACCAGGGAAGCAGGAACCAGGGAGCAGCAAUUACAACACCAAGAAAAAAGAUAUGCCUCAUCAUAAAAGAUCAACAGAACCAAUUCAAGUCUCUGUGCUCAGCUGAUCAUAAUGAAAACAUUCACUGUAGGGGGUCCCAUGACACUUCAGUAAUCCCUGCAGUGCAGAAGCAAAGAUAAAAAUGGUCCUUUACUAAGAUCUAGAGAGGAAAACAGAUGACAAGGGUGUGCCUCCUAGUGAUCAUUCAGAGAGCACUCAUGUUCCAGGUCUGACUGCACACCACAAAAAAAUCCAAGCAGAGCUUCAAAGAAUAGUAUCAGCCAUAGGAAGAUGAUAAGCUCAGUGCCAUGUUGCAGCCUGCACCUGAUAUCACUCUCUAACAGAACAUCUGAAUAAUGCAAAAGGUAUGUCACACCUAUGGACUUGCUGGCAGACAAUGUUAAAUACAUAAGGACAGCUGAAGAUCUCUCCUUUGAAACAGAGCACAUAAACCUGCAGACAUUUUUUUACUCUUUGUACCCUGCCUUCCAGUUUUGUAAAGUAACCGUAAAGUCUAACUUAAUGAUUAAAGCAAGUAAACAAAAUACUACAAUACAAAUGUCAUUAAGUAUUACAUAUUUUCAUAAGGGUUUUUUUUUUUAAUAAAUAUCUUGCGCUGAAGACUGCAUUGAAUUCCCUGUGAAAGAAUUCAGUGGGUACUAAUUUUGUCUAAAUAUUUACUGAUUACAUUAAAAAUCUUGUUUAUCCUGUGUUUUUUAUAUCAAUAAAAAUUAGACAGCUGUUGUAGAAACUCAUGAAAAGUUAAAAAAAAUGUUAAACUUACCAAAUAGUUCAGUCUUAGAUAAUUUGAUUAAAUAUUAUCUAGUUAGCAGUUCACAACUUACAAAAGAAAGUAAAAGCUAUUAUUGCUAGUUUUAAUGUUUUGGGAUAUUUUUGCCAAGUUAAUACAUCUAUUUUUGUUAUCCCUUGGAACACAUGGAAAACAAAAUACAUGUUAGUCUUCUUGUGUUCUGGCUGGUGUUGUUUCAGAAGAAUAGUAUUUUUAGCGUAGCAGCUCAUUCGCAUCUUUAAGAUAUGACUUAUAUGUGUACACUUGUGAACAGUUUUAAAAUAGUCUUGAUUAGAUAAUGAAUUCAUGCAUCUUGAGAGUGCUGAAGGCAGCCUCCACAGCACAUUAACACACCAUAUGUUGAUGAAAUGAAAUUAAAAGCAGAACAAAAGGGAGAAGAACUAUAUCAACACACAAAAGCCCUCUGCCAAAGAGUAAAUUACCUUUCAGUGUUUAUGCAUUUACUUGUUUUAAAUCAUAUAUCCAGUGCAACUUGGAAGACACAAUGCAUUAUUGUAAACUUAAAUAUUAUAUGUUUACAAACUAAAGAGAAGAAGCACAAUAUUUUUUUGCCUACUCUAAUGCUGCCUAGAAAAUAAAUAGAUUGUAUAUUCAUUGCCAGAUCCUAUACACUUUGUUAUGCAGUAUUUUACGUGUGUGUGUAAAAUAUUAAUACGAUCAGUUGUAUAUACAUGUGUUCAUGUGUUU